CCUCCUCUGAUAACAAAAGUGAGGCUUCCUUCUCCUGCUUUGCUAAAGAUUUUUCACCAAAAGAUCACAAACUGACAUGGCUGAAAGACAAUGUGGACAUCGACAACAAAAUAUACGAGAUCACAACACCUGUUGUGGAAAGAACGGACGAGAGCGGAAAUACUGUAUACAGUGUGGCAAGUUUUCUCAGUGUACUGUCUGAUGGCUUGAGUCAGGGCACUCAGUUUACAUGUCUGUUUGAGGGGAAAGGUGAAGGCGGCAUUAAAACAUAUGUGAAUGAAUCUGUGAGCUACGGUUGUCCAAACACACCCCAAUGUCCUGGAGGAGAUUCGGACAUAACUAUCAUUGGCCCUGCAAAUGAGGACAUGUUUAUGAGCGGAAAAGGAAAGAUAGUAUGUCAAGUCCUGGAAAACAAACCAUCUGUUCUGAGUGUUUUGUGGCAG